GUAUUUGUGACAGCUGCGGUCGGGAGGUGGCGCCCGCAGAGCCCAGGCCUCCUUCCACCUCCUUGCAAGGCUGGGCUGAUACAGGCGUCUUUGGGCCUGGCUCUCACUACCCACCCUCCUCCAGGGGCCAGAAGGCGCUCGGGCCAUCAGACCUCCCGUUCGGAAACAUGCAAAAUGCACAGGUUUCCUUACUUACCAUGAAGCCUCUGAGGAUGAUUACUUCUGGAAAAGGCCCUCCCUGAGCACUAGAAUAUGUGAUCCUUUAAGCACAGACUAUUGCAGCAGUGAGAAGUCUGACUGCUCCUGACUGCUGCGGGGUCCUCCCUCCACCCUCCCUCUCUUUCUUCUUCCUUCCUUUUUAAAAAAAAAAAAAAAAAAUUAGCAACAGAACCUUUCCUUCAGAGGCACCUUCUUUAGAACCUCAAUAUAUAUAACAGAUAAAAACGGCACAGCUCUAGCUAGAGCGCGACUGAGGAUGCAGAGCCUCUCGCCUUCUCCACCCACCCUUCCAUCGGAUCCCCUCUGGGGCACCUUUUGGAGAUCUACGGAGCACAGUGUGCAAAACAUUGAUUGUCGUCUUUUCUUUUUUUCAGGAAACAAAAUGGAAGGCCAGGAAGCUUUCAGCAAUUGCUUAAGAAAAUGACUCAACUGAGAAGCAACAGUCUUCAGAGUGGAGCCAAUGCUGUGUUUGCCGUGGUAGAAGCAGUCUCCCAGAGUUUGAAGAGGUAGACAUCAAUUACAGCAUCAGUUAAUUACAGCUCAGUUACAGACCAUAGCAGAAGAGAGUAGUUGCACUCUCAAACAGGAAGUGCAACUACUUUAAUGCUCCAGCAAAAGAAAGGAAGAUUUCCUUCUUGCCCAGCAACAAGCCCAGCCAAUGGAAAAUGCUGCAGCUUAGCCAAUGAGAAGUUGUUGUCACCUGAACUUUUAUUUUCCUCUAAUGGACUUUCAUUGUUUCCCUGCUGAUAUCUUCCUUUCCUUGUCCUGGUCUCCU
rnacentral:lncRNA from 1 species